GCCAGGUAUGGUGGCGCGUGCCUGUAGUCUCAGCUACUGAGGAGGCUGAGGCAGGAGACUCGCUUGAACCCAGGAGGCAGAGGUUGCAGUGAGCCGAGAUUGCACCACUGCACUCCAGCCUGGGCAACAGAGCGAGACUCUGUCUCAA
rnacentral:SRP_RNA from 1 species